GUGCCAGCGGCCGCGGUAAUACCGGCAGCCCGAGUGAUGGCCGAUCUUAUUGGGCCUAAAGCGUCCGUAGCUGGCUGCGCAAGUCCGUCGGGAAAUCCACUCGCUCAACGAGUGGCCGUCCGGUGGAAACUCCACACCUUGGGACCGGAAGGCUCGAAGGGUACGGCCGGGGUAGGAGUGAAAUCCUGUAAUCCUGGACGGACCACCGGUGGCGAAAGCACUUCGAGAAAACGGAUCCGACAGUGAGGGACGAAAGCUAAGAUCGCGAACCGGAUUAGAAACCCUUGUAGUCC
rnacentral:rRNA from 1 species